rnacentral:tRNA from 1 species
CGGGGUGUAGCGUAACUGGCUAACGUACUUGCUUUGGGAGCAAGGGAUUGCAGGUUCGAGUCCUGUCACCCCGA